AUCGGACCAGGCGGCACCGGGACGGUCCCGGCGUUCGGGCCGCCAGGGCGGGGGAGCGGCGGGGGAGACGGGCCGGUUCAGCACCGGCGGUGUGGUUCC
rnacentral:tRNA from 1 species